GAUGAACGCUAGCGGCAGGCUUAACACAUGCAAGUCGAGGGGCAGCACGGGUAGCAAUACCUGGUGGCGACCGGCGCAAGGGUGCGUAACGCGUGAGCAACAUGCCCUAUACAGGGGGAUAAUCCAGGGAAACUUGGUCUAAUAUCCCAUAGUAUUUAGAGGAGGCAUCUUCUAUAAAUUAAAGCUUCGGUGGUAUAGGAUUGGCUCGCGUGACAUUAGCUAGAUGGUGAGGUAACGGCUCACCAUGGCAAUGAUGUCUAGGGGUUCUGAGAGGAAGGCCCCCCACACUGGGACUGAGACACGGCCCAGACUCCUACGGGAGGCAGCAGUGAGGAAUAUUGGACAAUGGAUGGAAAUCUGAUCCAGCCCAUGCCGCGUGCAGGAAGACAGCCCUAUGGGUUGUAAACUGCUUUUUAUAUGGGGAGCAAUAAGGUCUACGUGUAGACUGAUGAGAGUACCAUAUGAAUAAGCAUC
rnacentral:rRNA from 1 species